rnacentral:rRNA from 1 species
GCAAAUUACCCACUCCCGGCACGGGGAGGUAGUGACAAAAAUAACGAUACGGGACUCAUCCGAGGCCCCGUAAUCGGAAUGAGCACACUUUAAAUCCUUUAACGAGUAUCCAUUGGAGGGCAAGUCUGGUGCCAGCAGCCGCGGUAAUUCCAGCUCCAAUAGCGUAUAUUAAAGUUGUUGCGGUUAAAAAGCUCGUAGUCGGACUUGUGUCACACGCUGCCGGUUCACCGCCCGUCGGUGUUUAACUGGCAUGCACGUGCUGACGUCCUGCCGGUGGCCCGAGCCGGUCCGGGAGCUCUGGGUGCGGGAUUCCCUCCGGGGGGCUCGCCUCGAACCCGGUUCUUGGGGAGGGCCUACUCAUACCCCUCGCGGUGCUCUUAACCGAGUGUCUCGUUGGGCCGGCACGUUUACUUUGAACAAAUUAGAGUGCUUAAAGCAGGCAGCAUCCGCCUGAAUACUGAGUGCAUGGAAUAAUGGAAUAGGACCUCGGUUCUAUUUUGUUGGUUUUCGGAAUCCCCGAGGUAAUGAUCAAUAGGGACAGACGGGGGCAUUCGUAUUGCGACGUUAGAGGUGAAAUUCUUGGAUCGUCGCAAGACGGACCGAAGCGAAAGCAUUUGCCAAGAAUGUUUUCUCUGAUCAAGAACGAAAGUUAGAGGUUCGAAGGCGAUCAGAUACCGCCCUAGUUCUAACCAUAAACGAUGCCAGCCAGCAAUCCGCCGAAGUUCCUCCGAUGACUCGGCGGGCGGCUUCCGGGAAACCAAAGCUUUUGGGUUCCGGGGGAAGUAUGGUUGCAAAGCUGAAACUUAAAGGAAUUGACGGAAGGGCACCACCAGGAGUGGAGCCUGCGGCUUAAUUUGACUCAACACGGGAAACCUCACCAGGCCCGGACACCGGGAGGAUUGACAGAUUGAGAGCUCUUUCUUGAUUCGGUGGGUGGUGGUGCAUGGCCGUUCUUAGUUGGU